GGAUAGACCUUAACCGAGAAAAAGGCAAGGUUGUGAAAUAAAUCACAAAUUUGCCAUAUUUUACACUGUGGUAAGUUGUGUACAAGCAAUUCAACAACUCCAAUAUUACAUAUCUAAUAUUUGACAUUACAUGAUACAUGUAUGUAUGCCUUAAUUAGAUUGACUUGUGAUUAUCCAAUGAAAGUUUAGUGAUAGCCUCGUGUAUUGAAGGCCCGGGUGACCCAAAGGAAUACUUAGAACUUAGAUGUCUUGACGCCAUGUUAAAUGAUAUUCUGUGUAAGAUUAUGUCUGAGACAUAGCAUCGCCUAUGAUAUAUUUACCUGUGUAAAACCAUGUCUGGGACAUGACAUCAACAAUGAUAUAUGUACCUGUGUAAACCCAUGUAUGGGACAUAGCAUGACAUCAACGAUGAUAUGUGUGCCAAUGUAAGAACAUGUCCAGAACAUGGCAUAGGUUAUGAAAUGUGCACAGUAUAAGACCAUGUCACAGACACGGCAUCAAUGAUAAUAUGUGAAUUCAUGUAAGACCAUGUUUUAGACAUGACAUUGGUACCUUAUUUGGUGUAUGACAUUCAAGAUAUUGGGUUAAGUGGAAUGAUGAGUAAGCACAUACAGUGCAAAUAUGUGCAAAUAUGUACGUAAACCUCAUGAGUAUUGAACUCAAUUCAUGAAGAGAAUUUUAACAAUAGAAAGAUGUAAGAUAAGCUUAAUGUUUAAUGACAAUUAAUGUCAAUUUUGACUACGUUCAUGUGUAUAGUAUGAUAUUAUAGUGAUAGUUGAUAAUAUGUUUAAUCCAUGAAUAUCUUGACUUACUAAACCCUAUGCUUACCCUUUUCACCUUUCAAAUUUCUUCUAACAUCGUCAAGCUCGAGAAUCGUGGACAUCGAAGCUUGAGUCACAAUAUCAACAAAACUUUUGGGGUAAAACUGGUUUACUACAUUUAAGAAUGGCAUGUAUAGAAGAGACAUUUAUCUAUCAAGCAUAAAUUUCACAUGACCGUAUGUCUACAUUUAAGUAUGGCAUAUAUAGAGGAGUCCCAAUUAGGUAAACUUAAUAUAUGUCAUGCUUAAAUUAAAGCUAUAGAUGUCAAAAAAAACUUUUUAUGCCAUGUCAACCACUAUUGGCUAUUGGCAUGUGAGUGUGUGUUGGGGCUAUUAACGGUGACAAGAGGGCUUGAAAAAUGGCUUCAAAGAUGUCCACAUGAGUAGACAUACGAUCAUGUGUCUAUACAGUGUGUGACACACAGUCAACCCCGUGAGCGUGUGAUCCGACCGUGUGUUCCCUGCUCUCUAAUUUUACAAAUCAAUAUGCAUAGUAAUAAAUACAAAGACAGAGACACGACCUUGUCUCUCAAUCGUGUUAAGAACACAACAUUCGAACAUGGGCAUUUGCCCGUGCCAUAUGAAAUUUGCAUCUUAUAUGAGAAAAUUAAUUUCGCCACACAGCCUAACACCUAGACAUGUAACUUAACCGUGUGAUAUUAAAUUUAUGCUGAGGUCAUAAAUAAAGAGCUACACAACCUAAGGACACAGAUUUGUCAAGGGGAACACAAGCUUGUCCUUAUGUUCACACGAACAUCAAACUUGUCCUUACGUUCACACGAGCAUCAAGCUUGUCCUUACGCUCACACGAGCAUGUGACCCUAUUUUAAAUUUUUUUUCUAAAAUACACAAUUUAGCCCAAAACCAACCCAAUGUAUGUUUUUAACCUCGCAAGCUCAUUUAAGUGACAAUAUGCAUAUUCUUAAAUAAAUUUUUAGUUUGAACAAAAUUUUAUGACCCGAUUUUAUAGAGUUGUUUAGAACUUCAAGCCCGAUAAUACCUCACAUCCUAUCUCGACGUUGAACACUAGUAAAGGGUCUUACAAGCCAUCUGGAGGUUUACAGGAAGGGAAUCCUCUUAGACCUUUUCUUUUUCUAAUAUGCAGUGACAAAAAGAAGGUUUGUUGAAAGGUACAAAGGCCAAUAGGAGAGGCCCAGAGAUAUCAUAUUUACUUUUUGUAGAUGACUGCAUUUUGUUCGUUGAAGCAACAAAGAAUGGAGCAAUAAUGAUGAAACAAAUUCUAAAGGAAUAUGAGUAUUGUUCAGGCCAGUGUGUGAAUUUUAAUAAAUGCACGAUAUUUUAUAGCUCGGAUACAGUAACAAGUAUAGACAAUUUUAAGGGUAAGGAGUUAACCAAAUUUGAAGAAAUACUUGGGACUUCCUAUUGUGGUUGGCACACGCAAGAAAGAAUCUUUUCAAAAUCUCAACGAUCGGGUCUAUUCUAGAAUUAAAGGUUGUAGCACAAAACUAUUAUCACAAAGAGGCAAACUGGUCUUUAUUAAAUCAGUGCUACAAGCUAUACCAACUUAUGCCAUGUCAUGCUUUCUUCUACCGAAAACUCUAUGCAAGGAGUUGAAAAACAUAUUUGCAAAAUUUUGGUGGCAGAGGAUACGGGGAGAAAGGUAUACAUUGAUGUCGGUAGAAGCAUAUGUGCCAAUCGAAAGAGGGGGGAGGAAUAGGUUUUAGAAGUAUGGGCCAAUUCAAUAGUGAUCUUUUAGUAAAACAAGGAUGGGGGAUUUUGAAUAAUCCAAAAUCUUUAGUUGAGCUAGUUUUCAAGGCAAAAUAUUUUCCAAAUGAGGAUUUUUUAAAUUCGCGUUUGGGAAAUAAUAGUUCGUAUACAUGGAAAAGCAUAUGGGCGUCCAAAGGGAUUUUAAUGGAAGGAAUUUGCUAGAAGCUGGGAAGGGGGCACGAGUAUCUCAUUUUUAAACGAUGCUUGGAUCCCAGUUGCAUGAAAUUUCAGAUUAUCUUCAGUUGUUAAUAAUUUAAAUGAUUUUAAAGUCGCUGAGUUAAUUGAUAAUAAUGUCAGAGAAUGGAAACGGGAGUUGAUUGUUAAUACCUUUUCGGAGGAAGUCGCUGCGAAGAUACUUAGGAUCACGUUGGCGAAAGAUCCUUAUGGUGACUUUCCGGCCUGGAAUGGUGAACCCUCGGGGGAAUACUUGGUACACAGCGCCUAUAAACUAUUACAAGCUUCUGAAAAUGAUCCUAGAGCUUAUGCUUUACAAACCGACUACAGUAAUUUCUAUAAAAAGCUAUGGCUACUUAAGCUACCUUCUAAAAUUAAAAGUACAGCUUGGAAAAUAUCUUGGAAUUAUCUGGCUACAUGAGUCAGCAUGCAGUAUAGAAAGUUAACAAAUACUGUAGUUUGCCCCCGAUAUGGAAGAGGAGCAGAAACCAUGGAUCAUUUAAUCCGUGAGUGUCCUCUAUCAGUUUCAAUGUGGACAGAAUUAGCAAUACCGAAUUUAUUACAGGAAACUAGUCUAGAGUUCCUACAGUGGCUUACCUGGGUUUUUGCUCAAAACGCUUAUUUCCAUUGUAGAUUAUUCUGUUGUGCGAUAUGGGCAACUUGGGGAGAAAGAAAUGCGAGAUUGCAUGAGAAAACUAGUAGAACAGGAAUAGAGACAGCACACUUUGUUAGAAGCUACAUUGCGGAAUUAGAUGGGGUUGAACAAAAAACCCCUAAAAUCUUACAAAUAGCCAGGAAGUGGAAGCACCCACCUGAACAAUCAGUUAAAAUAAAUUUUGAUGGGGCUUAUGAUGCGCGACUUUGUCAAUCAGCUUUAGGGGUUGUGGCGAGGAACAGUGAAGGGGAUGUUCUACUAUCAAGUUCCAAGAUACAUCAAGGCAUUUCCUCAGCUUUUGCGGCUAAGGCACUCGCUUGCCGCAAAGUAGAUUAGAUCGGAAUAGACAUGCAAUGGCCAAAGAUCAUAGUAGAAGGAGACUCAUUAACAGUAAUCAAGAAGUGUAAGGCAAAAAGACAAGAUAAGUCACAGAUAGGGGCAUACAUUCAAGAUAUUCAACAGCAUAUUCUCAGAUCUAGGAAUUUUGUGUUUGAAUACUCCUAGAACUGCGAACGGUCUAGUACAUAUUUUAGCAACUGAAACGAUGAAAAGGAAGGAAGUGGUUUACUUGGUAGGGAGCGCGCCUGGAUAUGCUGAUAACCAGUAUGAAAUAGAUAGAAAACGUGAACCAUAUUGAGAAAAGGGGCAGAUGAGAAGAGGAAGAAAGGAAAGUUCGAAAUGGGCAAAUUGCUGGUGCAGCGAUAAAUUCUCCUUGGGAUUAUGAGAUUGGCUUUAAGACGAAUCGGUUGAUGGGUGGUCAGACUGAUUGAUAGUGGAUGGGAUUGUAGAGGAAGAAAGGAAAGUUGAAAUGGACAGAUCAAGGGUUUGGUUUAAUGCUUUCCUUGAAAAUCUGAAACCGUCAUUAUGAAAAAUGACAGACUAAUAGUCAUACGGGGUUUUUUACUAAAAUAAAUUAAAAAAAAAUAUUUAUCAAAAUAGGUUGUCAGCCAGAUUAUUUAUCAAAAUGAG
rnacentral:lncRNA from 1 species